CAGCUUCUUACAUUAGCUAACUUCUAUCUCCCUGAUUCCCUAAGUAAAGUCAGUCCCGCCCUCAUGCUCACCAGGUAGCAUGUUUACGAGGACUUACUAUGUGCGUGGGACUAUACCAGGUAUGAGGGGACCGGUGGUGGACAGGAGAGCCAGGGCCCCUGUCUUCGUGGAGCAUCCUCUUUGAGUAGACACACUCAGAGUACUUCUCACACAGAAUGGUCAGCACCUGUGUUGACGUUAGUCUCGCGAAAUCUCUGUGAAGACCUGGACUACGUCUGGCUCAUCUUCAUGCCCAGCACCCAGCUCAACACCUGGGGAAUAUUGGGUGUUCUGUGAAUGUUUGAUGGAUGAAUGUGCCCAUCAGAAGCCUGGUCCCUUUGCCGGACCUUAUUUCUGGGUCCAUAUGCAGGACCUGGGACUAAACACAUUUCUUCGCAAUCCAGGAAUCUCAGAUGGCACCCUGGGCAAUGAGUAUUUUUAUUCUUCAAAGCUUACACUAGUCAUUCUCAAGAAAGGUCAUUAAUAAAGCCCUUUCUGUGUGCCUGUGUGAGUGUGUGUGCGGACGUGUGCGCACACACACACACCCCAUUUGGAAAGAGUUCUCACCUUAUGGCAUAAGACAGCACCAUUUCGUGGCAAGGGAAUAAAACAGAAAUCCGUCUUCCCCUUUUGCCAGCACUGCCCUGGAAGCCACAGAAGCAGCGAGGUGGGCCGUGAACAGUUAAUGGGGCCAGGAGUCCGCGCAGUCACCUGUUAGCUGCGUGACCCUGGGGGAGUCGCUUCACCUCUCUGAGCCUCAAUCUCCUCAUCUGCAGAUCAGAAUAGGAACAAAACAGAAAACCACAUUCCAUCCACUUGCUUUUACUGAUAUUUUUGUUCAGAAAACUGAGGCCCGGAGCCCAGAUCUUAAAGGCACGCAGGGGAACUCAGGGGCAGUAGGCAUCAGGGUGCCCAGAAAUAGAAGAAAGGAGCUGAGUGUCUGGCCUGGGACAGCUGGGACUUAGAAGUCAGGCAAAUCUGCUCAAAGCCAGUUCCUCUCUCCUACUAGCCAUGUGGCCUUAGGCAAGGCACUUCCGCUCUCUGGGCCUUGCUCUCUUCAUCUGUGAAUGGAAAUAAUGAUGCUCCAGCUGACCUCAGGAUCUCUAACUGUUCGGUGCCUCGCUGCCUGCCUUUGCCGACCGCCUCUCCCCUCUGUUUUCUGGUCUUCAAUGACCUGUGAACCGUGAUGUCUAGUCCCAUAACGGUGUCAAUGCUGAUGUCAAAAAAUUCUGCUACCCGCUCCAGCACAGCUAAAACCUGAAAGACAAAGCCACCAAGGGUCAGAGAGUGGAGUGGCUCGACCUCUUGGUCCCUGCAGGUGGAAUUGCAACCGCUCUCUGGAACCAUUUGGCAACAUCUACAAAAGCUGACCACAUGCACGCCCUUUGACCCGAGAUUCUGCUCCUAGAUAUUGUUCACCCCAGACCUGUGCUAGAAUCCCUGUAGAAAUCCUGUUCCUUGCUGGAAAUCCCCUAAACCCAUCCACUGCAGACUGAAUGGGUACAUUAACUGUGGAAUCUUCCCACCGUGGAGUAUGACACAGCACUGAGGACACAGCCACCGCUGCUACACGUAUCAGCAGGGACGAAGCUCACAGACGUAACAUGGAGCGAAGGAAGCCAGACACAAGAGCACCUGCUGCGUGCUUCCAGUUACCUAAAGUCCACAAACAGGACAAACCCAUCUAUGGUGAUGGUCUGGGAAGUGGGUGUUGGAUAAUGUCGCGAAGUAGUCAGUGGGAGUGACGUCACAGGGAAGCUUCUGGCGGUGCUGGUCCUGAUUUGUUUCUUGAUCUGUUUUCUGAUUCCAUGGGGGUGUGAAAGUUCCUUCGGUUGUACGCACAUUCACGCCAAGUGCAUUUUCUGUAUGUUUAGGAUACUUCAUUCUUUAUUUAUUACUUGUGUUUUCUUCUGUCAUUGGGUCUUGCUGCAAGACUCUGUUUGGUCUUCCCUAUAAAGAUGUCCCUUAUUGGCUAGAAAUCAUAGGAGAAUUUUCUCCAAAACGGCAGAAACAGAGGAUCCUGCUCUCUGCUUUUCAGUCUUACCAGGAAGGAGAAACAGCGGUCCAGGAACUCGGUACCCUGACUCUCCCGUGGAUUGUACUUAUUGCUCAGUCUCACCUUCUCCUGUGGACCCAGGAAGAGUUUAUUUGCAAAAACAGGCAGAAAGCCAGAUUUGGGCCACAGGUCACCAUCAAGUGCUGGGAAAAUGGAGAUGAUCAGAGAGAACGAAACAGGCAGAUGCAGAGCCCUGUGACCAGGCCUCUAACGCAGAGGUUCCUUCGAACGAGAUGAAGGACAGCCCAGAGAAGAGAGCUAGACGCAGUCAGAGAAGGACCGACGCAGGAAAUGACUUUGACUGGAUCCUGAGAAGUAAGUAGGAGCUCACCAGUCAGAGGGCGAAGAGUGUUACAGCUGGAAGGAACAGCGGAUGCAAAAGCACGGAGGCCGGAGAGAGUGCUGCCCACUCAGCCCAAGGGUCAUAGCUCAGCGCCAUGUUCCUGCCCUACCUCCCUUCUGGCGUAUUCUCAGAUUGUACCCUUUGGUGUAUUCUGUGAUUUUUUUUUUGACCUACUUGUUUGUAAGUGGGCUCCACCACUGGAAUAUAAGUUCUAUGAGGGCAGGAAUGGCCCACAAUAUGGAGUGAGGGGUCCCCUUUAUGUUUCCCCAGCACCCCGUGCCUGCUCUGACCAUGGAAGUCACCAUGUUGGGGGCAAUUGUCUUUUCAUGGGUCUGCCUAUUCCUCCGCCUCCAGCCGCUCCACAAUGAGACCCAGUUCUACUCAAUACGCAUGUGCGUCCUCUGCACGUGGACCUGUGACUGGGGCUCAGCACCCACAGCAUCACAGCAAUAGAGGGACCAAUCCAGCCUCCCACUGAGCGGAGAGGGAAAUUGAGGCCCAGGGAGAAAGAUGGCGAAGCUUGGACAAGGACGCAGGUCUUUCGACCGUCAGAUGCGUGCCUUCUCACGUCAGCCCACAGGUUCCUCUUGCCGAGAUCCUCUCCAAGCUAACACCCGAUCGUGGAAACAGACCAUACUCAACCCAGCAAGUCUUCUAAAAGUCCUUGUGCUGUGGUCUGGGGACUGAGCUCUCUGGCUCUGGAUUGGACCAGAUCUUUGCACAGAUUCCAGCUCUAUCACUGCCCAGCUGGGUGACCUUAGAGAAGCCACUCACCUUCUGCACCUGCCUUCUCAUCUGUAAACUCGGCAUGGUAAGGAAACGAAGACUCCAGGAGCCUAUUUUCCAAAGGCCGCAUUACCAACAAAGGACAGACCGAGAUUUGGACUCUCAUGUCCUGAUCCCCGCCUCAGGCUCUUUCUGCCAGAACCACAGACAAAUCCACAAAGUGACCCUCCGUGAAUCUUAGAGGUCAUUUAAAGGUAGCGGUGUCUGCCUCGCUACUCAAAGUGUGGUCCGUGGACCAGCAGCAUCUGUACUCCCUCAGGGCCUGGUAGCUGUGCAGAAUCUCAGGCCCCAGGCUGGACCCGAGGAAUCAGAAUCUGCAUUUUAAUGAGGCCCCUGGGUGAUCUGUAUGCACACAACAGUUUGGGAAACAUUUGCCUAUGGGGUAUCAUUUCAGACUUUCAAGAAUUUUUACCAUUAGAAAUGAAGAUAACAACAACAGUCAGCAUCGUUAAACUCAGCAUCCUGAUCCAACCACAGACCGGUCCAAACUUUUCAAAAUAUCAUCUGAGCAGAAAAGCUUAUAAACUGCUUUGCUUAUCAGCCAACAGCUGACCUCAGAACCUUUGGCAAGACAAAAUGUUCUGCCCUCCCAAUGAGAUCAGUAUCGCAUUUCUGGUGGUGUAUUUAUCUAGUUUUCAUUGCUGACAUGUAUUACGUAACACCACCCCUCUUUCUUCUGCCAUCACUGGCUUAUUUGAACAUCUGACUUACCUUGACCCUAGAGCACAGUGCAGCUUAUGCAACAAUCUGAACGUUUCUCCUCAGAAGUCCCCUGUGUCCCCAUGGUGGCCUCGGCUCCUGUCCUCAUGCCGCAGACAAGAUAGCUGUGUCCCACCUCUGAUUCUCUAGGCGACUUUAGGAUCCAGCCCUGGCUGCGUGCUUACUGCCUCCCAUUCUUCGAGGAUUUUCUGGGCUUGACUAAGAGUCUUUCAGAUCUUCUUUCCCAACUGUGCUGGGCUUCGAGACUGCUCAGAGAACAGAGGCACCUGGCUCAGAACGUGUGUAGAUAAUACCAAGCAGAAUCUUCCUCCUCUCUCCGUGAUGGGGAAUGAGGGGGCCAGCAGGCAGAUCAGGACCAAGGAUGGGACCCGAGGGGUCGGCUGGGGAAGGAAGAGGUCCAGAGAGAACAGUGCUGAAAACCCAGGGUUCUAGGGUCCAACAGAACUGAGACUUGAUCCAGCUCGGCUUCUUAUUUGCUGGGUGACAUUGGGUAGAUUACUCACCUACUUUGAGCCUCUUGGUCUCAUCUAUAACAGGGAGAGGAUGAUGCCGACCUCUGGGACUAAGUUGGCUAACAUUAGUAAAAUUCUGGAUGCUAGGCUUGUCAUAUACAGACAUUCAAUAAGAGGGAGCUUGUUUUUUGAUUGUAGAGUAAGUCAUUGAGGGAGACAGCCCACAAAUGUCAUGAAACUUCCAAUUCUUAAAACACACACACAUGCUAACAUGUUUUCCUGCAUAAAAUUCAAUAAAGAAUAACUG
rnacentral:lncRNA from 1 species